rnacentral:rRNA from 1 species
UGCCAGUAGUCAUAUGCUUGUCUCAAAGAUUAAGCCAUGCAUGUCUAAGUAUAAAUACUUUUACUUUGAAACUGCGAACGGCUCAUUAUAUAAGUUUUGAUUUAUUUGAUAGUCCCUUACUACUUGGAUAACCGUAGUAAUUCUAGAGCUAAUACAUGCGUCAAUACCCUUCUGGGGUAGUAUUUAUUAGAAAGAAACCAACCCCUUCGGGGUGAUGUGGUGAAUCAUAAUAAGCUUGCGGAUCGCACGGCUUUUGCUGGCGAUGGAUCAUUCAAGAUUCUUCCCUAUCAGCUUUGGAUGGUAGGGUAUUGGCCUACCAUGGCUUUAACGGGUAACGGGAAAUUAGGGUUUGAUUCCGGAGAGGGGGCAUGAGGGAUGGCCACCACAUCCAAGGAAGGCAGCAGGCGCGUAAAUUACCCAAUCCUGACACAGGGAGGUAGUGACAAUAAAUAACAAUGCCGGGCCUUCUUAGGUCUGGCAAUUGGAAUGAGAACAAUUUAAACCCCUUAUCGAGGAUCAAUUGGAGGGCAAGUCUGGU